rnacentral:rRNA from 1 species
AGGGACUUGGCAUCGGGGGAACCCUUGACCCCGCAACGCCGCGUGGGGGUGAAGGCUUCGGGUGAAACCCCUUUCGCCGGGACGAAGGGUCCGGCCGUUAACCAGGGGGUUAACGGCCCGGGAGGGGACCCCCCGGAUAUCUCCGGGCCGGCGCCCGAUAUAU